rnacentral:lncRNA from 1 species
GUGGUCAUACAAAUCUAGGAUACAGAAAUAAGGUGCAGUAAGAAAAUUAAAAUAUCUGAAAGUAAAUUACGAAAUUUAAAGUAAAAAAAUUUAGCUUGUAAAAAUUUAAAUUGCUGAAUUUAAACUAAAAUCCUAAUCAACCGGCUCUGAUACUAAAUCAAUGUGGGACAAUCCUAACGAAAAGAAAAAGAAGUCAAUCCUAAAGAUCAAGCUUCUUUUUGUUCAUC